ensembl:sense_intronic Gm29453 predicted gene 29453
ACAAACAUGAAUUCAAACCUUUAAGUCAUGAUUAAUAAAAAUUCUAAUAUUUUCUAUCAGUUCCCCAAAGUAUUGUAUGGGAUACAUGUGCCUUACUUUUAGGUAUGUGAUAAUAUAGUCAGGAAAUAUUUGCUUUUAAUGUUCAGCUAGUCUGUUCUGACUGCCAACAAAUUUGUGAAGAUUCAAGAUUAUAGUGUGCUCGAGAUCUAGUAAUGGAGUAUGAGGGAGGGGCGUGAUAAAGGAAUUAGCCUGUGACUAAGGCUUGCCAGGACAAAAGUUUGUUUCCAGAUGCUGGCCCAGUCUGAUACAUGUCACAUAGCUGUCCUCGGGCUCUCUUCCAACCUGCUUAUAUCACCUUGGCAGCACCUGGUUUAUAAGGCUACUAGAUGGGGAAGAGAAGUGCUCCUUUGGGCCUUCCUCAUUGGUCUGUGCAUAGUCAUGUGGGCUCACUCUACCUGCAGAGGAGGCUGGGAACCAAUCUUCCCUUGUGCCAGCAAGAGGAGUGCAAAGUGAGAUACAGUGUCUCACCGCAGCUCCUGCCUCCUACAUCAUUAGUGCAUAGUUGUUAGUGUUUGUCAACUCAGCUCAUAGGAGCCAUGUAAAAGCUUUAGCAUAGAUUUUAGCCUGAGCAGGAUGUUGUAUUUUAGUAAGAUUGUGCUCUUCAAACACUUCAGUUUUUUUUCUUAUAACUGUAAUCACAGUGUAUUUUCGUAUUUCCCUUUUGAUCUCAUUUGAAUAUAUUCUUGCAGAAAUAAAACCAUUGGCUCACUUACCAUGUUUCUGCUCUUAUCUCUUUGUCUCACACUACUGUGCUGAAUAGAUAGUGCUAACUUUGGUUUAUUAGGAACGAAGGGUUUUAGCAACGUCACAAUUGCUAUGUGUAGAACAAAUCAACUUUAUGUUAUUAUUUGAAGAUGUGACUAAAUGCUUGAUACAUUUCUGUAGUAGAUCUGGUUUUGGCACAAAUCCCUUAUUGAUUUUCUUGGAACAAGUAUUUCUAUUGGGAUUUCUAGACUGUUCGGUGCUGAUCUUGUCUGGGAUUUUGGCACCAUGGUUCUCACCAGCUUGGAGACUGAAGCCAGUGCAAUUGAGAUCUCACUCUUCCCAGACGGAUGGCCAGUAUGUAAAAGUCAAUUUUCUCUAUGCUUGGGAGCUGUGUUUAAGGACAGCAUAAAUUGAAUUUUCCUUUCCAAAUAUGGCUGUAGUCAAACACAGAUGAUGGAGAAGUAAAACUGUUAGAAAGGACCACAGAAGAAUUUUGUUUUGUUUUUUUCUGGUC